UGCACGGUGGAUUAGCGGUUAGCACUUUCGUCUAGCACCUCCAAGGUCAGGGGUUCGAUUCCCGUCUCGGCCC